GGAGUUUGGGCCGUGUCUCAGUCCCAAUGUGGCCGAUCACCCUCUCAGGUCGGCUAUGGAUCGUAGGCUUGGUGGGCCGUUACUCCGCCAACUACCUAAUCCAACGCGGGCCCAUCGUAUGCCGAUAAAUCUUUUCACACUGCACCAUGCGGUGCUGUGCGCUUAUGCGGUAUUAGCAGCCGUUUCCAACUGUUGUCCCCCUGCAUACGGCAGGUUGCCCACGCGUUACUCACCCGUGCGCCGGUCGCCAUCAAAGUUUGCAAGCAAACUUCAUGCUGCCCCUCGACUUGCAUGUGUUAAGCCUGUAGCUAGCGUUCAUC
rnacentral:rRNA from 1 species